rnacentral:rRNA from 1 species
GACGAACGCUGGCGGCGUGCUUAACACAUGCAAGUCGAACGAAGUGGCGAACGGGUGAGUAACGCGUAAUCAACCUGCCCUUCAGAGGGGGACAACAGUUGGAAACGACUGCUAAUACCGCAUACUGAAGGAGGGGAUUGCGUCUGAUUAGCUAGUUGGAGGGGUAACGGCCCACCAAGGCCAUGAUCAGUAGCCGGGCUGGUAGGAGUUACCGCCCACAUUGGACUGGGACAAGGCCCAGGAUUCUACGGGAGGGAGCAGGGGGGAAUCUUCCGCAAUGGACGAAAGUCUGACGGAGCAACGCCGCGUGAGUGAUGACGGCCUUCGGGUUGUAAAGCUCUGUUAAUCGGGACGCGGUACCGGAAGAGAAAGCCACGGCUAACUACGUGCCAGCAGCCGCGGUAAUUC